rnacentral:rRNA from 1 species
AACGAACGCUGGCGGCAUGCCUAACACAUGCAAGUCGAACGAGACCUCCGGGUCUAGUGGCGCACGGGUGCGUAACGCGUGGGAAUCUGCCCUUGGGUUCGGAAUAACAGUUGGAAACGACUGCUAAUACCGGAUGAUGACGUAAGUCCAAAGAUUUAUCGCCCAAGGAUGAGCCCGCGUAGGAUUAGCUAGUUGGUGAGGUAAAGGCUCACCAAGGCGACGAUCCUUAGCUGGUCUGAGAGGAUGAUCAGCCACACUGGGACUGAGACACGGCCCAGACUCCUACGGGAGGCAGCAGUGGGGAAUAUUGGACAAUGGGCGAAAGCCUGAUCCAGCAAUGCCGCGUGAGUGAUGAAGGCCUUAGGGUUGUAAAGCUCUUUUACCCGGGAUGAUAAUGACAGUACCGGGAGAAUAAGCUCCGGCUAACUCCGUG